GCGCCAGGCACGUAAACGCUUGUAGCGGUGUGCGGUGUCUGCCUGAGCGUCGGUGUCUGUGUAUGCGUGUCUUUGUGGCAUCGCACGUCAACUACACUGAACGAUUGGCGUCGGCGUCGUCGCUGCCAUAUAGAGAAGUGGCAUGACCCUGUGUGGUGGAGGCGUCGUAGAGACAUGCUGACGUUUGCGACUUGGGGACGGGCAGACGGACAGAUCUCGCUCGAUGACCAUGGACACUCGCUGUCACAACACCGACGUGAUGAAGAGCGGCAGCAGCGGCGAACGAACGCUUUGUGCUAACUCUCGCUUGAACGUGCCUCCGAAACUUGGAUACCAGCCCUUCAACACGAGGCGCACGAGAACACAUUGACACGAAGCCACCAGCCAUCUUGGCUCGGCCAACAAUUGCACCCGCUGCAGACUACCUCCAUGAUAGGGCGCGUGGAGCUGCGCUCAGCCGCGCCAUAUGCCGCAGCAACACCCGGACCACGAGAGGAGACGCGCCUGCCCAAAGAGGAGGAGGUUGAAUUGACGAAGCUGGCUGUCUGGUGUCAUGCUCCUUCCUAUUUUCCCUCCCUUCAUGUGUGUUUGCUACACUGGCGGCUACAUAUUAUGCACGCAUAUAGAAUAUGUAUUUCUAGUUCAGAUGACGUCAACUUGAGCACAGAACCGUCACUGAGAUCUUGUGAUUGGUGAAGAUCUAAGUGCCGCGGCUAA